rnacentral:lncRNA from 1 species
GUACAAAUAGGUGGAAUAUUGUUACAUGGAGCACCACAUUUUGAGGUAAGAGAAUGUCCUAGUGGGUGAGAGUGACCAUCCUGGGACUCUGACACUUUGCCAAGAACACUGUCUGCGAGAGUGGUUCCAGGAGCCAGGUAGUCCACCCUCCUUGGAGCUGCAAGCAGAAGGGUGCUCCCCGUAUCUUAAUGGGGCUAUCUUUUACCAGCAUCUGAACGGGCCUGAUGUUUUUCAGGGUGUUGUGCUGGAAUCCAUCAGUUAGUACUUAGAGGCAAAACAAUACACAGAAGAAAUGGAACAGGAUUUUUUUUUUUUAAGGGAUUGAACCCAAGAGCAGGAUUCUUAACAAAUGAAAAGGUGCAGCUGACUCUUAAGAGACCUGGACCUUGCCUGUUACUCCUCUGGCUCUGGUUGACUAACUCUCGUGUGAACUGGUGCUGAGGUUGGGAUUCUGUCACGCGGACGUGUGGAUGGGAAUUCAGGUCUUCUCCCCGAGCGGUCCUUGCAAGAGGCUGACAUUUCUAUAGGACAGUGUCCGGACCAUGCAAGCACAGGCCUACUUGGUAGUUAGCUGCAGCUUUGGCCCCAAGUCUGAAUGAGAACAGCCAGUUGCUCAGGCAAGACGGCCGUGGGGGAGUCACCAGAGCAGUACCACGGCUGCCACCCCUCCUAAGAGGCCCAGUGGACGGCGGCAGAGAUCAGACAGUGUGCUCCGGAAGUGAUAUCGUUCAAUUUUUUAGACUUUCAGCACAGUUAACGACGUACUUCCAUGUCCAGGAGCUUUUCCAAAGCCCUGGAAGAAACUGUAUAAACUAGAAACAUUAUACAUUUGGUUAAAGACGAGAGUGAUUUGAGGGAAAAGGUGUGUGGGACUCUUGAGAAGGAGCCACUGAAGGCGAAGGGCCCUCCUUGUGCAGACCUCCAGGGGCAGGAAGGAUG